CCUUGCCAUCAGGGAGUUGACCUCAUUUUUUUUACUUACCCUUAGUAAUUGACUGCAGAGCCAUGUCUGAGCCUCUUCAGAAUCAUCUCGGACUCCUCCUCUUGUGUGCUCCCAUGACUGGACUGAAGACACAGUGGUUGGCUUCUCAGUCAGAAGAAAUGGAUCCUGGCCCAGGCACUGCUCCAGGACAUUUCUCCCUAGCCGCAAAGAAGAUGCUGUAGACCAAUGUAUCCUAAUCCCUAGAAGGUCUCUGCCUUCAAAAUCUGUCCAGUAAGAGGAAAAGUCAAGCUGAAAAGAUGGAAUGGAAUGUAGGAGAUUUGUGAGAAAGAAGAAUGGGAAGUGGGCUGGAAGUUACAGCCUUUGUGGUCUGGUCCAAACAGAGUAAAGAUGAGAAUUCUACCUAGCCAGGUGCUGGUGACCAUGUUCUCAGGUUCUGUGUAUCAUUUCCUCGUUUGUCAAAUGAGAGGGUUUUUAAGCCAGAUGCCUUUAAGGAUGUGUCCUAGUGACCCACCUCCUCCUCCUGGGUCUCACUUCCCCAAAUUAAUCACACACCCAGCUGCAGCUCAGCUUCUUGCCUCUGGAGUGAGUUGGAUCGCCUCCUCUCAGGGUGAUGGUGUGGAUGCUGGUUAGUGCUGGAGUGAAGUUAGAGGAUGUGGACACCUCUGAAAUUCUGAACACUUUUUGUUGCUUCUCUGUCUGUUUUGAGACAGGGUCUCACAUAGCCUAGGCUGGCCUCAAACUUUGAAUGUAGCUGAGGUUGGCCUUCAACUCCUGAUCCUCAUGUCUCCAUCUCCUAAGCUCCUGGACAACAGGUGAGAGCAGUAAACUGUGCUUCUUAGGAAGCAUCCUAAAUUGCUUCCCAGUGGUUGGGAAACAUCCCAAUGGUUGUCUCAUUCAGCUUACUCUGGGCCUGAGAUUGCUAGGCCAGUUUGCUUUUCUUCUUAGUAGCCCACGUGUGCCUCUGUUGAUGCCACAGGGCAGGAGGUGUGCACAGGGACCCUUUAAAGAGAACCAACCUGACUGCCCACUCACUUUUGUCUUCCUGUCUGCCUCAUGUAUGCUCACCAUUGAGUGAGCGUGGAUGCCACGACCAAGGCCUAUGCAAAAGCUUGUGGAAACUGGGAUGGUGGCUCUGAUAAUGGAAAUGACUACCACAUGACUAAUGGGCAGUAAUCACUAAGAUCACAACUACAUCAUGACAUGCACUGUGGAUACACUGCACUGAAGGAGGAGUGCCAUUCCAAGUGGAGCAUGUAUUUUCAGACUGAAGUUGAGCAGAGUAAUGCAAAACUCUGAAAAAUCUGAAAAGUGAAGUUACAGAAGAAGGAAGUGCUUCGAUUUGGACUUCAAAGUCUACCCAAAGUUCCUGCCUCUGUCCAUUGGGACAUAGCUCCUGAGUCACCUCCCCUGGGAAGCCUGCCCAGCUGAGAAAGGAGGAAAGGAGUGAGUGAGGAGUCAGAGGGGACCAUGGGGACAACAAGACCAUGCUGCAAGAAAAUGAAAGAAAAAACCUACUGUGUACAUAUACCACAUUGUAGGGAGAGACCUCUACACUCUCUCACCGGGUUCCAGUCAGGUCUCAGACUGCUGCUGAGACUGAAUUCUCGGAGUGCCGAUCCGGUCAUUGGUUCCUUGUUUGUGAACCUUCCUAUCAACUGUAAAGCAGGAGAGCUAAUCUUACCUGCCUCCAUCUCAAGGACAUCGCCUUUGGGUUUCUCCUGAAUUCCCACCCAUUUUUCUUCUGCCAACUGCUUUCUAUUGUUAGUUGUGUGCCAGGAUUCACUCAGGAGAGGAGAACCAGCAAUGGCCUCCCUUUAAUUAAGAACCUGUGGUGUAAAAAGUCUCAGCCACUGGGUGGCGCUGUGGGAAGACAGUUGCCCUGGUAAAAGACUGAAUACUCAGCAUUUAGGUUUGAAGAGGUGUAGACGGCAGGGUUGGCAUAGGGGCAUGUGUCAUUCAUCCUACUGUGUGCUUUCAGGGUUAUUCAACCUGCUAAUUUGGGCAGUCUGCUCUGAGGUCAGAUGUCCCAUGAAUCUUAAAGAGAUCACUUGGAUUGAAGGAAACAGGGAAAGCCAGAUGGACCUGACAAGGGUCUCCAUCUGUCACUUUCUGCAAGCUCCUCAGUUGUCCCAGUCUGUCUGUCUUGGAGGGGACUUUUCUCCUCACCAUGUGUAACCUGCAAUUUCCUCCAAGGCCCCUGUCUUCUGUGAACUGAGUUUUGAACACUUUUCUAUGACUGUGCAAGAGAUGUUCUGUUUAAAUGUCAUGAGCUAGAAAAAUAACUGAGUCUUGCUUCCUCAUCUCUAAGCUGCAAGACCUUAGUGUGGGCUCUCAGUCUCUUUGCAUAUCUAUGAGUAGAGAAAAUAAGAAGAUAAAGUCCUCGGUCAAAUACCAUUAUAAGUAUUAAAAGAUCACUGGUAGUAAGGUGUCCUGUGAACUGUAAAAUAUAACUCCAAUGGCAGGCAGUGUCAGAAACCCCCAGGAAGCAGAUACCCAUUCUUUGUCUUUUUAUCCCAGGCCUGACACCACACUCUCACUAUGGCAGAUGAGUGAACAACAGGUGUGUGCGCUAUAUAGCCCCCAUGCAGCAGGGAACACACUGGAUGUAGGUCUGGCAAAUUGAUGGCUUCAAAGGAUGAGUCUGGGGGAGAGAGCCGCAGAAGCAGACCCUUAAGAAGAAUCCAGGGUUUGUGCCCUAUCUGCUAGGAAAGCAUCUAGCACAUCCCCAGCCAGCUGGCUCCUGGUUAGCCUGACUGUGCUCUGCUCAGGCCAUCUCAGGCCGCAAUGACUUCUCUCAGAGCAGGUGGACCUAGAGUUUUGUCAUUCAUCACGGGUGCUCUGUUGACCGGCCUGGAAUGUCCUCCUUCUCAUGCCCACUUUGGAGGCCUUAGUCCCUGGUGAUGGUAAACACACUAGACGCAGGGCCUGACACUGAGAUGCCCUGGAUCUGAGCGAGCUGGGGCUGACUGACCUGACCUGUCUCCCAUGGUUAACAAAUACAAACAGAAACAGCACAGGUAAAUAAAUACAGGCCAGUUUGGAGCAAAGCCACAUUGGAGCCUUUUUUUUCCUGACCUAGUUAUUUGUUUGUUUGGAACAUCAUUACUUGGGAAUUGUCACUGUUUCACGUGGUGCUUAUGAAUCUGGUAGGAGAAUCUAAUAAUAAGUUUAUUAUGUAAACAGUAGUAGCAGGCAGCUACUAUUUAGUCAAUGCUUGCCACUCAGUUACUAUGCACUUCAUGGGUAUUAUCUUAAUUAGUCUCAUUAGAUGACUAUGUCUCCUAUAGGGCUCUCUCAGGCCACCCCCAGGGCAUACUACUUCUGUAGCUAUCUUAUGGGCAGGAAAUUUGAAGUUCAGCCAUUUCCUGGGUCAUAGAACAAGUGACUGGAACUCAAGCCAUCCAUUUGUCCCUCUGUUCAUUGUACAAAUUAUUACUGAGCUUGUGCAAUGAACUAGCUACCAGGGGUUCAUGUAGAGUAAUGCAAAGUCUUUCUCUGUGCAGAUAGGAGGCCAAAUAAGCAAAGGGAACAAGGUAGUACAUGGUAGGAAGUAUAACAGAGAAUAAGGAAGGAAGAGAGGGUGGGGAUGCAACCUUGGACAGGAAGGAACAAAAGGUGGCAUCUUGGGGGGCUAGGUUGCUGAGCUGAGUGGAUCAGAGGGCAGAACCCAACUGCUGAUAAACUGUCCAGUGGGCCAAAUGGUCAGAUCACAAGCCAAUGAAGAUCUCUCUCUCUUUUGCAAACAGUGUUUCUCUGUAUAACCCUAACUGUCCUGUAGACCAGACUGGCCUCAAAUUCAGAAAUCAGCCUGCCUCUGCUUCCCGAGUGCUGGGAUUAAAAGUGUUCACCACCACUGCUGGCCUGCAAUGAAGAUUUAUAUGGAAAUCUUUCAUCUUUCUCAGGGUUCAUCUUCUUUUCUUGGGUUAUGCAUUUUCAGAAUAGGAAAUAGAAUAAUAAUUUAGGGAGGAUAUAAAAUAAAUUCAUCUCCUUUUCUCCAUUCGUAGAUUCUUCCAUCUAUCCAUCCAUUCACCCAUCUACCCACCCACCC
ensembl:lncRNA